rnacentral:rRNA from 1 species
AGGGGGCAAGCGUUAUCCGGAUUUACUGGGUGUAAAGGGAGCGUAGACGGACGGGCAAGUCUGAAGUGAAAGGCAGGGGCCCAACCCCUGGAAUGCUUUGGAAACUGUCCAUCUAGAGUGCCGGAGAGGUAAGCGGAAUUCCUAGUGUAGCGGUGAAAUGCGUAGAUAUUAGGAGGAACACCAGUGGCGAAGGCGGCUUACUGGACGGUAACUGACGUUGAGGCUCGAAAGCGUGGGGAGCAAAC